rnacentral:lncRNA from 1 species
AAGUCAUAAUAUACAUACAGAAAAUGGCCAUGUCAUUAAUGUAGAGCCCCAGAAAUUUUCACACACCAAACAUACACACUCUAAUGAGCACCACAAAAACUUCCCUAUUGUUCUACAACAGUCACUAACUGCCCUGCCCUGUGAGGGUAAUCGCAAUCCCAACUUCUAGCAGCAUAGCCUAGAUUCACCUUUUUUUUUUGUAUUUGGAUAAAUCGAGUCACCUAAUAUGAACUCUUUCAUGUAGACCUUGUUUGUUGAUCAUGACAUCUGACAUCUGUCAGAUUCAUCCAUGUUGUUUUAUGUAGCAAUAGUUAAUUUACCCUUGGUUCUUUGCAUGAAUAUACAACAAUUAUUUUAUUUAUUCUAGUAUUGGUGGAAAAUUUGGCAGUUUCAGUUUUUUAGCUAUUGACAACAGCAUUCUCUCAACAGUCUGGAACAUAUCUUUGGUAAGCAUGUACGUAUUUCUAUUAGGGAUGUACCUCGGUAAAUCCAGAGAUUUUCACAUUGUAAUUUUUAAACUGUAAGUUGACAGAAAUCACCCCCAGCCUUUCCCUUCCAAACUUUCCCCUUCUUUAUUAAUUAUAAUUCUUACC